rnacentral:rRNA from 1 species
GAUGAACGCUAGCUACAGGCUUAACACAUGCAAGUCGAGGGGAAACGACAUCGCAAGCUUGCUUUUGAUGGGCGUCGACCGGCGCACGGGUGAGUAACGCGCAUCCAACCUGCCCAUCACUUGGGAAUAACCUUGCGAAAGUAAGACUAAUACCCAAUGAUAUCCCACGAAGGCAUCGGAAUGGGAUUAAAGAUUUAUCGGUGAUGGAUGGGGAUGCGUCUGAUUAGCUUGUUGGCGGGGUAACGGCCCACCAAGGCAACGAUCAGUAGGGGUUCUGAGAGGAAGGUCCCCCACAUUGGAACUGAGACACAGUCCAAAAUCCUACGGGAGGCAGCAGUGAGGAAUAUUGGUCAAUGGGCGAGAGCCUGAACCCGCCAAGUAGCGUGCAGGAAGACGGCGCUAUGGGUUGUAAACUGCUUUUAUAAGGGAAUAAAGUGGGUCACGUGUGACUUUUUGCAUGUACCUUAUGAAUAAGGACCGGCUAAUUCCGUG